rnacentral:misc_RNA from 1 species
GAACGCACCUUGCGCCCUUUGGCUAUUCUGAAGGGCAUGCCUGUUUGAGUAUCAUGAACACCUCAACUCUCAUGGUUUGCCAUGAUGAGCUUGGACUUUGGGGGUCUUGCUGGCCUAUGGUCGGCUCCUCUCAAAUGAAUCAGCUUGCCAGUGUUUGGUGGCACCACGGGUGUGAUAACUAUCUACGCUUGUGGUUUUCCACCAGAUAACCUUCAGUGAUGGAGGUUCACUGGAGCUCAUAAAUGUCUCUCCUCAGCGAAGACAGCUCUUUGAACGUUUGAUCUCAAAUCAGGUAGGACUACCCGCUGAACUUAAG